AUGCAAGUCGAGCGAACGGACGAGAAGCUUGCUUCUCUGAUGUUAGCGGCGGACGGGUGAGUAACACGUGGAUAACCUACCUAUAAGACUGGGAUAACUUCGGGAAACCGGAGCUAAUACCGGAUAAUAUUUUGAACCGCAUGGUUCAAAAGUGAAAGACGGUCUUGCUGUCACUUAUAGAUGGAUCCGCGCUGCAUUAGCUAGUUGGUAAGGUAACGGCUUACCAAGGCAACGAUGCAUAGCCGACCUGAGAGGGUGAUCGGCCACACUGGAACUGAGACACGGUCCAGACUCCUACGGGAGGCAGCAGUAGGGAAUCUUCCGCAAUGGGCGAAAGCCUGACGGAGCAACGCCGCGUGAGUGAUGAAGGUCUUCGGAUCGUAAAACUCUGUUGUUAGGGAAGAACAUAUGUGUAAGUAACUGUGCACAUCUUGACGGUACCUAAUCAGAAAGCCACGGCUAACUACGUGCCAGCAGCCGCGGUAAUACGUAGGUGGCAAGCGUUAUCCGGAAUUAUUGGGCGUAAAGCGCGCGUAGGCGGUUUUUUAAGUCUGAUGUGAAAGCCCACGGCUCAACCGUGGAGGGUCAUUGGAAACUGGAAAACUUGAGUGCAGAAGAGGAAAGUGGAAUUCCAUGUGUAGCGGUGAAAUGCGCAGAGAUAUGGAGGAACACCAGUGGCGAAGGCGACUUUCUGGUCUGUAACUGACGCUGAUGUGCGAAAGCGUGGGGAUCAAACAGGAUUAGAUACCCUGGUAGUCCACGCCGUAAACGAUGAGUGCUAAGUGUUAGGGGGUUUCCGCCCCUUAGUGCUGCAGCUAACGCAUUAAGCACUCCGCCUGGGGAGUACGACCGCAAGGUUGAAACUCAAAGGAAUUGACGGGGACCCGCAAUCUGAUGUGAAAGCCCACGGCUCAACCGUGGAGGGUCAUUGGAAACUGGAAAACUUGAGUGCAGAAGAGGAAAGUGGACUUCCAUGUGUAGCGUGAAAUGCGCAGAGAUAUGGAGGAACACCAGUGGCGAGGCGGCUCUCUGGUCUGUAACUGACGCUGAUGUGCGAAAGCGUGGGGAUCAAACAGGAUUAGAUACCCUGGUAGUCCACGCCGUAAACGAUGAGUGCUAAGUGUUAGGGGGUUUCCGCCCUUUAGUGCUGCAGCUAACGCAUUAAGCACUCCGCCUGGGGAGUACGACCGCAAGGUUGAAACUCAAAGGAAUUGACGGGGACCCGCACAAGCGGUGGAGCAUGUGGUUUAAUUCGAAGCAACGCGAAGAACCUUACCAAAUCUUGACAUCCUUUGACCGCUCUAGAGAUAGAGUCUUCCCCUUCGGGGGACAAAGUGACAGGUGGUGCAUGGUUGUCGUCAGCUCGUGUCGUGAGAUGUUGGGUUAAGUCCCGCAACGAGCGCAACCCUUAAGCUUAGUUGCCAUCAUUAAGUUGGGCACUCUAGGUUGACUGCCGGUGACAAACCGGAGGAAGGUGGGGAUGACGUCAAAUCAUCAUGCCCCUUAUGAUUUGGGCUACACACGUGCUACAAUGGAUAAUACAAAGGGCAGCGAAUCCGCGAGGCCAAGCAAAUCCCAUAAAAUUAUUCUCAGUUCGGAUUGUAGUCUGCAACUCGACUACAUGAAGCUGGAAUCGCUAGUAAUCGUAGAUCAGCAUGCUACGGUGAAUACGUUCCCGGGUCUUGUACACACCGCCCGUCACACCACGAGAGUUUGUAACACCCGAAGCCGGUGGAGUAACCUUUUAGGAGCUAGCCGUCGAAU
rnacentral:rRNA from 1 species